CCUACGGGUGGCAGCAGUGAGGAAUAUUGGUCAAUGGACGAGAGUCUGAACCAGCCAAGUAGCGUGAAGGAUGACUGCCCUAUGGGUUGUAAACUGCUUUUAUAAAGGGAUAAAACGAGGCACGUGUGCCUUUUUGCAUGUACUUUAUGAAUAAGGAUCGGCUAACUCCGUGCCAGCAGCCGCGGUAAUACGGAGGAUCCGAGCGUUAUCCGGAUUUAUUGGGUUUAAAGGGAGCGUAGAUGGGUUGUUAAGUCAGUGGUGAAAGUUUGCGGCUCAACCGUAAAACUGCAAUUGAUACUGGCAGUCUUGAGUACAGUUGAGGUAGGCGGAAUGCGUGGUGUAGCGGUGAAAUGCAUAGAUAUCACGCAGAACCCCGAUUGCGAAGGCAGCUUACUAAACUGUGACUGACAUUGAGGCUCGAAAGUGUGGGUAGCAAACAGGAUUAGAUACCCGUGUAGUC
rnacentral:rRNA from 1 species